CCUACGGGCGGCUGCAGUAGGGAAUCUUCCACAAUGGGCGAAAGCCUGAUGGAGCAACGCCGCGUGGGUGAAGAAGGUCUUCGGAUCGUAAAAUCCUGUUGUUAGAGAAGAAAGAGCGUGAGAGUAACUGUUCACGUGUCGACGGUAUCUAACCAGAAAGCCACGGCUAACUACGUGCCAGCAGCCGCGGUAAUACGUAGGUGGCAAGCGUUAUCCGGAUUUAUUGGGCGUAAAGGGAACGCAGGCGGUCUUUUAAGUCUGAUGUGAAAGCCUUCGGCUUAACCGGAGUAGUGCAUUGGAAACUGGGAGACUUGAGUGCAGAAGAGGCGAGUGGAACUCCAAGUGUAGCGGUGAAAUGCGUAGAUAUAUGGAAGAACACCAGUGGCGAAAGCGGCUCUCUGGUCUGUAACUGACGCUGAGGUUCGAAAGCGUGGGUAGCAAACAGGAUUAGAUACCCGGGUAGUC
rnacentral:rRNA from 1 species